UGGGGAAUAUUGGACAAUGGGCGCAAGCCUGAUCCAGCCAUGCCGCGUGAGUGAAGAAGGCCUUAGGGUUGUAAAGCUCUUUCACCCGUGACGAUGAUGACGGUAGCGGGAGAAGAAGCCCCGGCUAACUCCGUGCCAGCAGCCGCGGUAAUACGGAGGGGGCGAGCGUUGUUCGGAAUUACAGGGCGUAAAGGGCGCGUAGGUCCUAGAU
rnacentral:rRNA from 1 species